UGUGCUAAAAGCCUCUCCUGGGUCAGCAGGAUGCAGCCUAAAAAUAAACAAAUAGCACUUAUUGGCCUAGCAAAAGAGGAGACAUGUCGCUCAGUCUUUGAGGACUGCCUGAAAUGGCCUCUUAAGAACUGGGAAAGAAACAAGAGUGAAACGGCAGCAUGCCGAGUCUACAGAGACAGCUCUUCGGCUGGGGAUGUUGGUCUGUAAAAGGAGACAAAAAGAGAUCCAAGCAUGCAUCCAUCAAAGGCAGGAGGUCAGAGUUAUAAGUAGGGCCCGAGCACCACAGUACGAGGACCCUCUUGGAAUUGCUGCGUUUCUAAUUCUAUUACAGUUUGAAAUAAGUUUUCAUUUUUUGAUGUAUUUAAAAGAGUAAUGGAUUCCUUAUUUGAGGCCAAAGCUGAUUUUUCAGAAGCCAUUACUUUGAGUUUUCAGUGUCACAUGAUCCUUCAGAAAUCAUUCUAAUACCGGUAUGCUAAUUUGGUGUUUUGGAAAUAUUUCUUAUUGUUAUCAAUGUUUAAAACAGUAUGUUUGUGAAACAUUCACUUUUAAACAGUAGGGUAUUAAUAUAAUAUUGAUGUUAAGAAUAACAAUUAUGCCUGCUCUGUUCUUCUUUGCUUAUUCAGAUUGAAUGUUUAGUUAUUCUGACAGUAUGGGCAUGACUGUGGUUAGCUAAAGAUAAAGCAAAUGCAAACUGAGUCUACGAAUGAAUUAUUGUAGAUGAUAACUGAUCACUUAGUACACCAUAACAUCACUUUUAAGAGUUAACGGUCUGUGUGUUAGUGCUGUUAGUGCCUCACAAUCAUUUAAUUAUCAGCUGAAGUCUUUGUUGGUCUUCUUCUUUAACACACACACACACAGAGAGAGAGAGAGGCUUCGAUAACUGGCCUUGAAUCUGGUGAAUGAGUAAAAUGCACUAAGCUCUUGAAUCAGCUCCACUGAUAAUGAUAUAUGCAUUAUUCAUAUAGCUGAAUCAGCGAUCUCUCUCAUACUUUUUGGCCAUCCUCCUAUUAUCCUCACACAUUUACUAACAGAAGAACAAAAGUAUGUGUUUUAUCAGCAUAUCUAUUGAAGACUAGUAAGUGUAUCAUGUGCCUAUGAAGAAAUAUGGUGGAAAUCUCAUCAGAAACUGAAUGCCAAAUGGGGAAUAAGCCAUCUAGAAGCAUUAUAGAAUGAAUGAAAACUGCUGUAUUUACAGUAUGCUACACAGAUCAACUAGAAUGGAGCUGAAGAGGGCACAAGUUCUGACAUUUAUUCUUCAGUGUUCUAAAAGUCCAAUUUCAAUAAAGAGUCAUUGUCAAAAGUGCUCCCAGAAGUAUUUGAAAACACCCAAACUCAAAAAACAAG